GGAUAAGCGCUGGAAACGGCGUCUAAUACUGGAUACGACCGACCCUCGCAUGGGGUGUUGGUGGAAAGAUUUAUCGGUGGUGGAUGGACUCGCGGCCUAUCAGCUUGUUGGUGGGGUAAUGGCCUACCAAGGCGACGACGGGUAGCCGGCCUGAGAGGGCGACCGGCCACACUGGGACUGAGACACGGCCCAGACUCCUACGGGAGGCAGCAGUGGGGAAUAUUGCACAAUGGGCGAAAGCCUGAUGCAGCGACGCCGCGUGAGGGAUGACGGCCUUCGGGUUGUAAACCUCUUUCAGCAGGGAAGAAGCUUUUGUGACGGUACCUGCAGAAGAAGCACCGGGCUAACUACGUGCCAGCAGCCGCGGUAAUACGUAGGGUGCGAGCGUUGUCCGGAAUUAUUGGGCGUAAAGAGCUUGUAGGCGGUUUGUCGCGUCUGCUGUGAAAAUUCAGGGCUUAACCCUGGACGUGCAGUGGGUACGGGCAGACUAGAGUGUGGUAGGGGAGACUGGAAUUCCUGGUGUAGCGGUGGAAUGCGCAGAUAUCAGGAGGAACACCGAUGGCGAAGGCAGGUCUCUGGGCCAUUACUGACGCUGAGAAGCGAAAGCAUGGGGAGCGAACAGGAUUAGAUACCCUGGUAGUCCAUGCCGUAAACGUUGGGCGCUAGGCGUGGGUCUCAUUCCACGAGAUCCGUGUCGCAGCUAACGCAUUAAGCGCCCCGCCUGGGGAGUACGGCCGCAAGGCUAAAACUCAAAGGAAUUGACGGGGGCCCGCACAAGCGGCGGAGCAUGCUGAUUAAUUCGAUGCAACGCGAAGAACCUUACCAAGGCUUGACAUGCACCGGAUCGCCUCAGAGAUGGGGUUUCCCUUUGGGCUGGUGCACAGGUGGUGCAUGGUUGUCGUCAGCUCGUGUCGUGAGAUGUUGGGUUAAGUCCCGCAACGAGCGCAACCCUCGUUCUAUGUUGCCAGCACGUAAUGGUGGGGACUCAUAGGAGACUGCCGGGGUCAACUCGGAGGAAGGUGGGGAUGACGUCAAAUCAUCAUGCCCCUUAUGUCUUGGGCUUCAAGCAUGCUACAAUGGCCGGUACAGAGGGUUGCGAAGCCGUGAGGUGGAGCGAAUCCCAAAAAACCGGUCUCAGUUCGGAUUGGGGUCUGCAACUCGACCCCAUGA
rnacentral:rRNA from 1 species